GAGUUUGAUUAUGGCUCAGAUUGAACGCUGGCGGCAUGCUUUACACAUGCAAGUCGGACGGCAGCACGGGUGCUUGCACCUGGUGGCGAGUGGCGAACGGGUGAGUAAUGCAUUGGAACGUACCGAGUAGUGGGGGAUAACUGUCCGAAAGGAUAGCUAAUACCGCAUACGACCUCAGGGUGAAAGCAGGGGACCUUAGGGCCUUGCGCUAUUUGAGCGGCCAAUGUCUGAUUAGCUGGUUGGUGGGGUAAAGGCCUACCAAGGCGACGAUCAGUAGCGGGUCUGAGAGGAUGAUCCGCCACACUGGGACUGAGACACGGCCCAGACUCCUACGGGAGGCAGCAGUGGGGAAUUUUGGACAAUGGGCGCAAGCCUGAUCCAGCCAUGCCGCGUGUCUGAAGAAGGCCUUCGGGUUGUAAAGGACUUUUGUACGGGAAGAAAAGGUUGUGGAUAAUACCCAUGACUG
rnacentral:rRNA from 1 species